GCUACUCUGUCCACUGAGGGAGAUGCAAGAUCUUCAGCCAAUGUUGUCUCAGCUCCAGCCACUGAGUCAGGCACCCCAGGCCCUCAGUCCAGCUUCGGUCCACACCCCUAUUUUUGCAUGUGCCUCUGCUCUGCAGGACCUGACCCCAGAUUCUGAGCAAACGUCACUGUUGGUGGAAGAGCACGAUGAAGUAGAAGUGGCUGCCGCAGAGGAAGAGGAGGGCGUUGACCCCACAGUGCUUGAUAUGGCUCCACCAUCUCCUGAUGACGACACAAUAAGGCACACCUUUGGCUCUUGGCACAGCUCCCAGGCACAUACUUUACUCCUGUACCCUCCACUGCUGCCCAUGACACAAGCUCCAACACUGGCAUGACCUCCAUGACCUCAACCACACUGCUGACCCUGGCACGACCUCCAUCACUGCUGACCCUGGCACGACCUCUACUAACUCCAACCCUGGCACCAUCUCCACAACCGCUGGUACCUCCUCCUCGCGGGUUGCAGGGAUACAGCCUACUGGACCUACUGAAUUGCACAAAACUAUGGCUGUUGAAGACCAGUGUCCCUGAAUACCAGCUCAUUGACAGACUUCCAGAAUAUUUGCUUGGGCUCCUGGAUCAGACAUCUCUUC